rnacentral:rRNA from 1 species
CAGCAGCCGCGGUAAUACGUAGGGUGCAAGCGUUAAUCGGAAUUACUGGGCGUAAAGCGUGCGCAGGCGGUUAUAUAAGACAGAUGUGAAAUCCCCGGGCUCAACCUGGGAACUGCAUUUGUGACUGUAUAGCUAGAGUACGGCAGAGGGGGAUGGAAUUCCGCGUGUAGCAGUGAAAUGCGUAGAUAUGCGGAGGAACACCGAUGGCGAAGGCAAUCCCCUGGGCCUGUACUGACGCUCAUGCACGAAAGCGUGGGGAGCAAACAGGAUUAGAGACCCCCGUAGUCCCUGUCUCUUAUAA